rnacentral:rRNA from 1 species
CGCGUGGGAACAUACCUUUCGGUAAGGAAUAGCCACUGGAAACGGUGAGUAAUACCUUAUACGCCCUUCGGGGAAGAUUUAUCGCCGAGAGAUUGGCCCGCGUUAGAUUAGAUAGUUGGUGGGGUAACGGCCUACCAAGUCUACGAUCUAUAGCUGGUUUUAGAGGAUGAUCAGCAACACUGGGACUGAGACACGGCCCAGACUCCUACGGGAGGCAGCAGUGGGGAAUCUUGGACAAUGGGCGCAAGCCUGAUCCAGCCAUGCCGCGUGAGUGAUGAAGGCCUUAGGGUCGUAAAGCUC